rnacentral:rRNA from 1 species
GACGGAGGGGGCUAGCGUUGUUCGGAAUGACUGGGCGUAAAGGGCGUGUAGGCGGUUGAUCAAGUCAGACGUGAAAGCCUUGGGCUUAACCCAAGAACCGCGUUUGAGACUGGUUGACUUGAGGACGAGAGAGGAAAGUAGAAUUCCGAGUGUAGAGGUGAAAUUCGCAGAUAUUCGGAGGAAUACCCGAGGCGAAGGCGUCAUUCUGGCUCGUUUCUGACGGUGAGGCGCGAAAGCGUGGGGAGCAAACAGG